UGGUGAGUAACGCGUGAGGAACCUGCCUUCCAGAGGGGGACAACAGUUGGAAACGACUGCUAAUACCGCAUGAUACGUUGGAGCCGCAUGACUCCGACGUCAAAGAUUUAUCGCUGGAAGAUGGCCUCGCGUCUGAUUAGCUAGUUGGUGAGGUAACGGCCCACCAAGGCGACGAUCAGUAGCCGGACUGAGAGGUUGGCCGGCCACAUUGGGACUGAGAUACGGCCCAGACUCCUACGGGAGGCAGCAG
rnacentral:rRNA from 1 species